ACAUGAACCAGUUUGUUGCUGUGCAGCAUGGUUAUGCCACACCAAAUGUGCAACACAGCACAACAGGGCUUGAUACCCACAAUCUGGUCCAUGUUGUGCAACAACGACACACUAUGUAAUGGCAGUAAGGUUAUCAUCAUGGUGCAUCAGUGCUGGACAUGAACCACAUUGUUUCUGUGCAGCAUUGUUACACCACAUCAAAUGUGCUGCACAGCACAGGUAACACCUGAUGGAACCCAUCAUAUCAAAUGUCUGUGGUACUGCUCCAAUGACCUUAUAUUCUUUAACAAUGACAAAUUAUAUAUGAGCAGCACAUCAGUCUGGAUUAUGCCAUGUCAAGGAGCAGUGAGGGAGGUCCCAAACAUUUGGAUCUUGAUACUGAUGUCAAGUCAGGCACCUUAGGCUGCCACAAGAGCUGAUGACGAGG